CAAUAGCGUAUAUUUAAGUUGUUGCAGUUAAAAAGCUCGUAGUCGGAUUUUGGAUGAGAACGAUCGGUCCGCCGUUAGGUGUGCACUGAUUGGUCUCAGCUUCCUGGUGAGGAGGUGUGCUUCACGGCCACUUAGUCACCGUGGUUACUUUGAAAAAAUUAGAGUGUUCAAAGCGGGCUUACGCUUGAAUAUAUUAGCAUGGAAUAACACCAUAGGACUCCUGUCCUAUUUCGUUGGUCUCGGGACGGGAGUAAUGAUUAAGAGGAACAGUUGGGGGCAUUCGUAUUUCAUUGUCAGAGGUGAAAUUCUUGGAUUUAUGAAAGACGAACUUCUGCGAAAGCAUUUGCCAAGGAUGUUUUCAUUGA
rnacentral:rRNA from 1 species